rnacentral:lncRNA from 1 species
UGCCUACUAAAGCCUAUAUUGCUCAUUGUGGUCUUAUUUCACAGGACAUACAACAUUGUGAUUUAUUACCAGGAAUUGUGGAAGAUAUUAUUCAUGUUAUCUUUUGUUGUUCCUUCGCUUAAACUUGUAGGCAACACCUAUGCAAUAUGUCCGAAAUAUCUUUUUAGUCUUUUGAUUUGCCAGACUUGAUGAAUUAUAUGAUCAAUGUCGAGGUGACUCA